CCUGUUAAACAUUUGGAGAAACUCUCAGCCUUAUGUGGCCACAAAUAGCAGCCUCCUUGGGGAUGUGCACAGCCUGUUCCCUACAUGGGUUACCCUAAGAGACCUGGGAGACAAUU
rnacentral:snoRNA from 1 species